AGAGUUUGAUCCUGGCUCAGGAUGAACGCUGGCGGCGUGCCUAAUACAUGCAAGUCGAGCGAACCACUUCGGUGGUGAGCGGCGAACGGGUGAGUAACACGUGAGUAACCUGCCCUAGGCUCUGGGAUAACUGUCGGAAACGAUGGCUAAUACCGGAUAGGACCUGCUGCCGCAUGGUGGUGGGUGGAAAGCUUUUGUGGUGUGGGAUGGGCCCGCGGCCUAUCAGCUUGUUGGUGCGGUGAUGGCGUACCAAGGCGACGACGGGUAGCCGGCCUGAGAGGGCGACCGGCCACACUGGGACUGAGACACGGCCCAGACUCCUACGGGAGGCAGCAGUGGGGAAUAUUGCACAAUGGGCGCAAGCCUGAUGCAGCGACGCCGCGUGAGGGAUGACGGCCUUCGGGUUGUAAACCUCUUUCGCCAGGGACGAAGCGCAAGUGACGGUACCUGGAGAAGAAGCACCGGCUAACUACGUGCCAGCCGCCGCGGUAAUAC
rnacentral:rRNA from 1 species